AUUGAACGCUGGCGGCAGGCCUAACACAUGCAAGUCGAGCGGAGCGGCGGACGGGUGAGUAAUGGCUAGGAAUCGGCCUGGGCGUGGGGGAUAAGGUCAGGAACUGGGAGCUAAUACCGCAUCCUAUCACAUGAGGCUAGGUCGGAUUAGGUAGUGGGGGGGGUAAAGGCCUACCCAGGCGACGAUCCGUAACUGGUCUGAGAGGAUGACCAGCCACACUGGAACUGAGACACGGUCCAGACUCCUACGGGAGGCAGCAGUGGGGAAUAUUGGACAAUGGGCGAAAGCCUGAUCCAGCCAUGCCGCGUGUGUGAAGAAGGCCUUCGGAUUGUAAAGUACUUUAAGCGGGGAGGCGUUACCAGCAGAAUAAGCACCGGCUAACUUCGUGCCAGCAGCCGCGGUAAUAC
rnacentral:rRNA from 1 species